UGGGAAUUUUGGACAAUGGGCGAAAGCCUGAUCCAGCAAUGCCGCGUGUGUGAAGAAGGCCUUCGGGUUGUAAAGCACUUUUGUCCGGAAAGAAAUCCUUGGCUCUAAUACAGUCGGGGGAUGACGGUACCGGAAGAAUAAGCACCGGCUAACUACGUGCCAGCAGCCGCGGUAAUACGUAGGGUGCAAGCGUUAAUCGGAAUUACUGGGCGUAAAGCGUGCGCAGGCGGUUUGCUAAGACCGAUGUGAAAUCCCCGGGCUCAACCUGGGAACUGCAUUGGUGACUGGCAGGCUAGAAGUAUGGCAGAGGGGGGUUAGAAUUCCACGUGUAGCAGUGAAAUGCGUAGAGAUGUGGAGGAAUACCGAUGGCGAAGGCAGCCCCCUGGGCCAAUACUGACGCUCAUGCACGAAAGCGUGGGGAGCAAACAGGAUUAGAUACCCU
rnacentral:rRNA from 1 species